GACGAACGCUGGCGGCGUGCUUAACACAUGCAAGUCGAACGGAAAGGGCCUGCUUUUGUGGGGUGCUCGAGUGGCGAACGGGUGAGUAACACGUGAGUAACCUGCCCUUGACUGUGGGAUAACUUCAGGAAACUGGGGCUAAUACAGGCUAGGUGCUCCUGCUGCAUGGUGGGCGUUGGAAAGUUUCGGCGGUUGGGGAUUGACUCGCGGCUUAUCAGCUUGUUGGUGGGGUAGUGGCUUACCAAGGCUUUGACGGGUAGCCGGCCUGAGAGGGUGACCGGCGACAUUGGGACUGAGAUACGGCCCAGACUCCUACGGGAGGCAGCAGUGGGGAAUAUUGCGCAAUGGGCGGAAGCCUGAUGCAGCAACGCCGCGUGCGUGAUGACGGCCUUCGGGUUGUAAACCGCUUUCGCCUGUGACGAAGCUUGAGUGACGGUAAUGGGUAAAGAAGCACCGGCUAACUACGUG
rnacentral:rRNA from 1 species